rnacentral:lncRNA from 1 species
UCAAAGGUAAAAAAAUAAACAUACGUUUUUUUACAGAACUGCUUACCACUGCGCUGUUAUCCACUGUCUUUAUUGCACAUCAGUUUUCACCGAAAAUUGAGGAUUUAUCACAAAGAGGAAGCUACUUGCAAAGGUGCAUAGUGCAUAAAUAGUCUUACGUCAUUUUAUAUCUCAAUUAUAUUUUUAAUUGAUUUUUUAUCGAUACUAAUUGACGGGCAUGAGAUUAAAUGGGCCUUGACCCCCCGUGAAUGGUUUAUCUGCAGUUGAAUUUGCGCUGAUGUUACACACCAAAGCCAAGUUUCUGAAUUAAAAUUUUUAAAAAUAUGGGAAAUAAAUUAAUUGAUAAAUAAUAUCUUUGAUGAUAUAGUCUGGAAACAUGUUCCGCUAUCAUGAUUAAGGCGGGGUUUUUUUUUUAAUACAGCCAUUUUAACGGUAAACCAAUGCGACAAUUUUUUAGACCAACACAAUGAACAUACUCGUUUCUAGUUUUGCUUAUUACGAAACUUGUUGUUCGAGGGUCAUAGUUAAGAGAUAAAAGUACGUAUAAAUGUAGUCGGCAAAAUUAUUGAUCUUAAUGAACGGUCAAAACAUUCUCCGCCUCAGAACUGCAUGUACAUACGUAACGCAGGUUUUGUGAAUUAGCUACUUAUUCGUCAAGUUACGAUACAAACAUGGUUUUCAACCGCAGUUUUUUGCUCCUUCUCAUCCUUGCAACCUUUGUAGCAAUGGUUGUUUGCGAGUGCACUUCGGAAAAUAUCGAAAGUAAGAGUUUGGAACAAAUGGGUGAAACUACCAAGAACGAUAUGGGCGCAUACAUCAAGAAACUGCUGACAAGUUACAAAGAUCUGGGCCCGGAGGCCAAGGCGAAGGUGGCUGCCAUCUCCACGGUGAUGCAAGAGCAGAUGAAGCAAAUUACGGAUAUCACUAAAUUUAAUCCUCAAGACCUUAACAAAGUCACGAAAUUAUUUGGAUAAAAUGCUUUGAAACUGUAUAAACCGACUUCAUUUUGCCAUGAGAGAGUACAAUAUCCUGCUCAUUGAAAAAAGCGACUAACUCCGUAGGGAAACUAAAGGCACUUGCGUUGUUUUUAAAUUUGAGUCAGAAAUAGUAGUUUCUCAUUUUUUCACUGCGAGUUUGUAUUAUUGUCAGGGAUAAGAUUGAAGGAGAAGAAGCAGAUGGAUAUUGAGUCAAAUUUUCUUCUCGUUCUAGUCAAAUUUUCCUCUCUUUCAGAUUUUUAUUCAAAAAUCUAUUGAGAUAAUUUCACCUACAUUUAAAAAAAAGAGUUUAUAUAUAUCUUACUGUAAGUUUAUAUUUCUUGAACUUAUAUUUUAUGAUAAAAGAAUUUUAAUUGAAAAUUGAAAUUAUUCUUGGACUUUUUAUUUAACUUUACUAAUAUGAGUCCUUACAUUUUCCUAAUCGUAUUUUUAAUGUUGAAAUGGAUAGAGAACUCAUUAAAUUAGUGAGUUAUAGGUGCACAAACCGUAUAAUUUUGUUUUGAUCACAUUUUUACGAAUGUUUUGAUCACAUAUUUACGAAUGAUCACGGGAGAAAAACGGAGAAGCUUGCGUACAUAGUUAAUGAAUUUGACUCUUUUACGUUUGGAAAUCCAGGCUUUCGAACGAUACAUGUUGCUAGUGAUUAAUGCCAAAAGAUGAAGUUGUGACCUGUGAAGACAGGUCAAAAGAGAUCCUCAGAUCUAACUAGUUACGCAGAUCACCAUCAUGUAUACAGUUUUGCCAACAGCUCUAUUGAAGGCGAAUCAUACUUGAUGAUUACCAAUUUCUUUAGAUGGUGAUUGUAAUUGACGGAUGAUAUGAGUUGAGAUUUCAUUGCUGAUAUUCUUAUAAACUGAGAGUUUUUUUUUAUACAGCCAUUCCAACUUGAAUGGAGAGCUUUGCGGGAAAGUAGGGUAUAAUUUCUUCGUUGUAAUAUGUUAUUCUUUUCUUUAACAUGUGCCUACUAAGAAAAUUUCCAAGAUAAGCGAUGCUUCCUACUCAAAUUUACUCAUAAAAUUUGUCAUCUUUAUUGGUGACUUUUUUAAUCAAUCUGAAAGUAAUGAAAGAGUUGUAUUCUUGUCAGUAAUAAUAAAACACUUCAAUAAAAAUUGAUAAAGCUACAUAAAUUAAAUUAGAAAAUUCAUUAUAGCCCUCAUGCUUUAACUUAGGGUUUUUUCGAGCCGAAAUAACUUAAAAGCUAGGAAGAAUAUAUAGGCGUCAAAACUUCAAAAUUAAUUGUCCGGAAAAGCUCUAAAGUAUAAAUGAUGGGAUAUUAUAGUUUCAAUUUAUAUCCUUUACACCUCAGAAAUUAUCCUAUGAAAAUCAUCAAAAUAGUGGACGAAGGGGUACGCAAUUUACUCUUAGUCACUCCCCCGAAACUUUUCGCUGUUUUGAAAAUUUUCGAAAAAUAAUUCCUCGAGUAUGAUGAAAAAAAAAAAAAAUAGUUAUCACUAAUCACAUCUAGAUUUGACUUUGAUCACUUAUCAUUUCAUUCAAAAAAGAAGAAAACGAUAAAAUGAAUGAUUAAAAUACAUUUUUUUAAAUUGAAACG